CAGUAGGGAAUCUUCGGCAAUGGACGGAAGUCUGACCGAGCAACGCCGCGUGAGUGAAGAAGGUUUUCGGAUCGUAAAGCUCUGUUGUAAGAGAAGAACGAGUGUGAGAGUGGAAAGUUCACACUGUGACGGUAUCUUACCAGAAAGGGACGGCUAACUACGUGCCAGCAGCCGCGGUAAUACGUAGGUCCCGAGCGUUGUCCGGAUUUAUUGGGCGUAAAGCGAGCGCAGGCGGUUAGAUAAGUCUGAAGUUAAAGGCUGUGGCUUAACCAUAGUAGGCUUUGGAAACUGUUUAACUUGAGUGCAAGAGGGGAGAGUGGAAUUCCAUGUGUAGCGGUGAAAUGCGUAGAUAUAUGGAGGAACACCGGUGGCGAAAGCGGCUCUCUGGCUUGUAACUGACGCUGAGGCUCGAAAGCGUGGGGAGCAAACAGGAUUAGAUACCCUGGUAGUCCACGCUGUAAACGAUGAGUGCUAGGUGUUAGACCCUUUCCGGGGUUUAGUGCCGUAGCUAACGCAUUAAGCACUCCGCCUGGGGAGUACGACCGCAAGGUUG
rnacentral:rRNA from 1 species